rnacentral:sRNA from 1 species
GCAGGGAAGGAUGAGAAGCGUCGACUAAGGUUCGAUUCGAGCGUAGCGAGGCAGGCAACGACCCGAAGGGUGAGGAGCAAAGCGACGAAUUAUCCUUCCCCCACAACU